UUUGAUAGAAUAAGGUGUGAAUUAUCUUAUUCCAAUGCAGUUGGGUUAAUGUGAAGAAUUUCCACCACCAUUUGACUAGGAGAUCUUGAUUCAUCAUACUUAUAUCUAAGAUACCGAAUCCCCCCUCCUUCUUACUUCUGCGAACACUUUUCCAAAAAAUUAGACAACCCUAAUCAAAUUAUACUUUAAGUAAAUUGAUUGCAUAUUUCUUACUAUUCAAAUUUUUGGGAUCAAGUCAAC
rnacentral:lncRNA from 1 species